UGGGGAAUUUUGGACAAUGGGGGCAACCCUGAUCCAGCAAUGCCGCGUGUGUGAAGAAGGCCUUCGGGUUGUAAAGCACUUUUGUCCGGAAAGAAAACGUCGUGGUUAAUACCCGUGGGCGGCUGACGGUACCGGAAGAAUAAGCACCGGCUAACUACGUGCCAGCAGCCGCGGUAAUACGUAGGGUGCAAGCGUUAAUCGGAAUUACUGGGCGUAAAGCGUGCGCAGGCGGUCCGCUAAGACAGAUGUGAAAUCCCCGGCUUAACCUGGGAACUGCAUUUGUGACUGGCGGGCUAGAGUAUGGCAGAGGGGGGUAGGAAUUCCACGUGUAGCAGUGAAAUGCGUAGAGAUGUGGAGGAAUACCGAUGGCGAAGGCAGCCCCCUGGGCCAAUACUGACGCUCAUGCACGAAAGCGUGGGGAGCAAACAGGAUUAGAUACCCUGGUAGUCCACGCCCUAAACGAUGUCAACUAGUUGUCGGG
rnacentral:rRNA from 1 species